AUUCAAUAUCGUAAGCUCAUUCAUUGCAUCGCGACCUGACUCCGCGCGUACACAAUUAUAAUGUUAUUCUUCUUUUUAUAACGUGUUCAAUUCAUAAUUUACGCUAUUGAUUAAGAGGCCGAUUGCACUUAUUAGAGGAAAAACUCGUCAGAAUCUCGUUAACCUUAAAAUUGGAAAAAUGCUUUCUUAUUCGUGGAUUAAUUAUUCUAUUAAUAGAGGAUUAAUAAAAGGAGGAACCGGUUCAAUUCAAUCGUUUAAUUCGAAGAGCAAAUGUGAUGAUAUCGGUCAGAAUCGUAACCAGUUUUCAUUUCACGUGAAACCUCGUCCGGGAGAGAAUGCGAUCCAUAAAUAAGUCCAAUUGUGGCCUCAACAUCUAUUAUGUAAAGUCGUGCACGCUUUAUUUGCGCUAAGAUUUUGUAGAUUGAGAGUGGCCUUGAGCGGAUACUUCCACUCUUAUUAACCCUUUGAUACCGCAGCCAGUAAAUCCACUUGUCGAAACAAUUUCAUGACUCACCACGUGGACGUUGCAUGGAUUUUUCACGGAGCACGUGCAAACGUCCGUUAUUUCGGUGAUUUAUCAAAAGGAAAAAAAAAAAGGAGGAGAAAAAAGAGCCAAGCUUGCCGAGGAAUUUUAAACUCUACAUUACAACUCUUUGUAGAUCCCAGCUCUUCUUUCCAGUUUUAGCGUGUCACAAGAAGCUUUCUUACCUCAUCUCCGGUGUUGGCGAGUGCUGGUCCCACGGGUCUCUUGCUGGGGCCCAUGGGAUAUGCGGAACAGCGGGGUGCGGAGAUACGCGAACGCGGAGGUCACCAUUGACGCAAAUCCAUUUGACGGUCACGUGACCGGCCGCACCAACCUGAACACAAUGCGCGCGGACGCCACGACAGCACCACCUUUCAUCAAAUCCUCUCCUUCGUUCCUGUUUGCAACCGUAAAUACGCGGUGAGAACAAUUAUGUAGAACUCGCCCCAUUCACGAAAAUAACGACCAAUUAAAGAGUUAAGGAUCCGUUUA